rnacentral:tRNA from 1 species
GGGGGCCGUGGUUCAGUGGAAGAGCACCGUCUUUGCAUUCAGAAGGUCCCAGCUUCGAUCCCUGGCAUCUUCG